rnacentral:lncRNA from 1 species
CAGGAUUACUGGAACGUGAUCUGGAUUUUGUGACUGGAGUUUGCAGAAGAGUUUUCAGAAACUCUAUAACAAGGGCUACAAGCUACAAGCUGAAUUUAGAGGAAUUCAACAUGAAGACAAGGAUAUGCUGCACUAUGGUAGCAUUAGCAGAAAGCUAUCUAGAAUGCCUGGACUUGCCCCCAGUAAGCAUUAGCAGAAAGCUAUCUAUCUAGAAUGCCUGGACUUGCCCCCAGUCCUACUUUGCCACAGGAACCUGAGCAUACAGCAGCUCCUCUCCACUGUGUCUGCACAGUGCCCCAUGACCUCCGUAUUCCCUCCUGGAAUCUUUCAGUAGGUCUGGUAAGUCAAUACCAUGGCUUACAGCUAUUUCUUAGGCAUUUUUACAGAUUCACAUGACCCACUGCUCUUGUUUCUGACUUCUCUGCAGCUUGCUUAAAUGGCAUGUGGUUGGCGCCAACAGUUAUUUUUUUUUCUUGAUUGACUGCUGCUGAUUCCUGCCCUAACCUUGAAUUUAAAGACACAGAAUUGUUACUGCAAGUGUUUCAUCUCAGAAGACACCUGCCUUCUGUAAAAAACUAGUUUUGACUUAGAUUCUUACGCUAGCUGAGAUUUUUUUUGUCUCCAUGCUCAGUCCAGUUUUGAGAAAACCUGUGCAAUAAUUCCUGGUGACAUCAGAGAAGCUGCAUCUUGCACGUACCUUACUAGUACAGAUCACAUCUUAAAAUCUUCGCUCACGUCCUCUUCAACAAGAAGAGAUAAAGAGCAGAACUCUUACUAAACCACUCUGUUCCUAUUGAAGAUCUCUAUAUACUCAUACAUUCUCAGGUGCCCACUGAUAAUAAACUUGUAUCACACAGCCA